UACGUAGGUGGCAAGCGUUGUCCGGAAUUAUUGGGCGUAAAGCGUGCGCAGGCGGUCUGUUAAGACCGAUGUGAAAUCCCCGGGCUUAACCUGGGAACUGCAUUGGUGACUGGCAGGCUUUGAGUGUGGCAGAGGGAGGUAGAAUUCCACGUGUAGCAGUGAAAUGCGUAGAGAUGUGGAGGAAUACCGAUGCGAAGGCAGCCUCCUGGGCCAACACUGACGCUCAUGCACGAAAAGCGUGGGGAGCAAACAGG
rnacentral:rRNA from 1 species